rnacentral:rRNA from 1 species
CAGUAGCCGCGGUAAUACGUAGGGUGCAAGCGUUAAUCGGAAUUACUGGGCGUAAAGCGUGCGCAGGCGGUUAUAUAAGACAGAUGUGAAAUCCCCGGGCUCAACCUGGGAACUGCAUUUGUGACUGUAUAGCUAGAGUACGGCAGAGGGGGAUUGAAUUCCGCGUGUAGCAGUGAAAUGCGUAGAUAUGCGGAGGAACACCGAUGGCGAAGGCAAUCCCCUGGGCCUGUACUGACGCUCAUGCACGAAAGCGUGGGGAGCAAACAGGAUUAGAUACCCGGGUAGUCCCUGUCUCUUAUAC